UACGAAGGGUGCGAGCGUUGUUCGGAAUUAUUGGGCGUAAAGGGUUCGCAGGCGGGAACUUAAGUCAGGUGUGAAAUCCCCGGGCUCAACCCGGGACGUGCAUCUGAAACUGAGUUUCUUGAGUACUGGAGAGGGCAGUGGAAUUGCUGGUGUAGGAGUGACAUCCGUAGAGAUCAGCAGGAACACCGGAGGCGAAGGCGACUGCCUGGCCAGAUACUGACGCUGAGGAACGAAAGCGUGGGGAGCAAACAGG
rnacentral:rRNA from 1 species